rnacentral:rRNA from 1 species
UACGAAGGGAGCUAGCGUUGUUCGGAAUUACUGGGCGUAAAGCGCGCGUAGGUGGCUUUGCAAGUCAGAGGUGAAAUCCCAAGGCUUAACCUUGGAAUUGCCUUUGAAACUGCAAAGCUUGAGUAUCGGAGGGGAUGGUGGAAUUUCUAAUGUAGCGGUGAAAUGCGUAGAUAUUAGAAGGAACACCGGUGGCGAAGGCGACCAUCUGGACGAUAACUGACACUGAGGCGCGAAAGCGUGGGGAUCAAACAGG